GUCGAAGGGCUCUCCCGAUCCACUUGGAAGGACACUUGAAAAGGAUGAGAAGAGGCUUGAGCUGUUGACAGGUGAUACUUACUGGUUCCUCGUUGGAGAUCGAGGUACAGGGGUCCAUUCCAGGAUGAUACUUAGAUGUCCACCGUUGGGGGUUGAAGUCCAGUGGUCCAGUCCAGGGUGCAACAGUUGGGUUCCAGAACUGGAGGAAGGAGAUGCGUGAGAGUCAGAGAUAAGCUAAUGGGAAGUAACCAACUGGAAUGAAGGAGUGCAUGAGAAAGCUUUACUUACCAUUGUACAUGUUUCUGACGGCCUCCUUCUUUGCCCCCCCUUACCCUUCUCAGGUUUCCCGGGAUCUCCAUCUUUGUCUUCUUCAGUGGGUCGGUGUAUCAUGCAGAGAGGUCCAUUGGUGGUUCGAUACGUGGGAUAGUGGAUGUCAGGACGAGUGGGCAGCUGAGUGGUUUGGAAACCAACUUUAAUCAGACUUCCAACACUUUUACUGGACUCUGUGUGGCAGCUAAACACAAACAUUAUUUUUAUAUAUUUUUAUAUAUAGAUUUUUUCAGUUUGUACUU